CUUUAGUAAGAUGGCUUCAGUAGCGAUAACAAUUCCUUGAAUAUAUGCUUCUUCUACAAAGCAAAUUUCACCUGCUGCUCGAUCUACUUCUAGUAUCAACCCCACUUCUUAUUUUACAGAAACUUAUAUAUAGUAUGUAAUUUUUGUUAUUGCUUCUUUAUACUAUACUAAAUAUAUAUUUUUAAUUGAUUGGGGUUUAGGGCUUAGAGUAGGUUAGCUUCCUUCAGUUGAAUCUGAUCCUUAUUGUAUUCGAAUUUGAAGUAUAUGCUGUAAUAGUAAAAAAUAUUGAACGGU
rnacentral:lncRNA from 1 species